UUAAUGCAGAAACAUAUGACUGAUUGAAGAGCUGCAAACAAAUGCCCAUGGAACAUUCAACUCCCAACAGGACGUCUAUAUCAUCCACCCACUAAAGUUCUGGGAUCAUCAAGGAACAGCUGGGAUGAAGGAUUUUCUGUGAAGAAAGAGGUUGGAAUUUUAAUUUGGAUCAAGACCUUGAUGUAAGGCAUGCAUCCAGCAUCUGCUUGUGGAAUGAGGCAUUGGUCUGUUCUUGUAACAGGCCUACAACUGCACACUGAGUUUUGAUGGUCAGUUAGCUAAACAACGAAUAGAAAGUAGAAAUGAACAGCUCAUGAGCUACUCAGAUGCCAGCUUGACAUCUCCUCCAUGCAAAACUUCAAGUCAAAUGGUGGGGCUGAAUGAAGAAAAUAGAUUGAAGCCACACAGCUUUUGGAUCCUAUUCCCAAAUAUGAUGCUGUAUGGUUUCCUUCAUGUAUUUCUGAAGACUCCACUAAAGUCCACAAUUGUCUUUUAUCUCUUCAAACCCUAGUGGGAUUCUUCAAGCUCCACCUGAUGUUUGGCUGUGGGUCUGCAUCUGUUUCCAUCAGUCACCGGAUGAAGCCUCUCUGAUGACAAACCGGCUAGGCACCAAUCUAUGAG